rfam:Oryza nivara chromosome 11, whole genome shotgun sequence.
AAUAAGUGCAGUAAUUUGCUUCAUGUUAAACGUUUGACUGUUCGUCUUAUUUGAAUUUAUUUUAUGAUUAUUAUCUUUAUUGUUGUAGAUGAUAAAUUAUGAAUAAUAUUUUAUGUGUGACUAUUUUUUUGAAAAAAAAUUCAUAGAAUUUUCAAAUAAGACAGAUGUUCAAACGUUGAACACAAAUUCCACAGCUGCACUUAUU